GCAUAUCAAUAAGCGGAGGAAAAGAAACCAACAGGGAUUACCUCAGUAACGGCGAGUGAAGCGGUAACAGCUCAAAUUUGAAAGCUAGCUCUUUUAGGGUUCGCAUUGUAAUUUGUAGAAGAUGCUUCGGGUGUGGCCCCGGUCUAAGUUCCUUGGAACAGGACGUCAUAGAGGGUGAGAAUCCCGUAUGUGACUGGGUGCUUUCGCUCAUGUGAAGCUCUUUCGACGAGUCGAGUUGUUUGGGAAUGCAGCUCAAAAUGGGUGGUAAAUUUCAUCUAAAGCUAAAUAUUGGCCAGAGACCGAUAGCGCACAAGUAGAGUGAUCGAAAGAUGAAAAGCACUUUGGAAAGAGAGUUAAACAGUACGUGAAAUUGUUGAAAGGGAAGCGCUUGCAACCAGACUUGCGCGCUGAUGAUCAUCCGGGCUUCUGCCCGGUGCACUCGUCUGCGCUCAGGCCAGCAUCGGUUUCGGUGGUGGGAUAAAGGCCUUGGGAAUGUAGCUUCUUUCGGGGAGUGUUAUAGCCCUCGGUGCAAUGCCGCCUACCGGGACCGAGGACCGCGCUUCGGCUAGGAUGCUGGCGUAAUGGUUGUAAGCGACCCGUCUUGAAACACGGACCAAGGAGUCUAACAUCUAUGCGAGUGUUUGGGUGUCAAACCCAUACGCGUAAUGAAAGUGAACGGAGGUGAGAACCCUUAAGGGUGCAUCAUCGACCGAUCCUGAUGUCUUCGGAUGGAUUUGAGUAAGAGCAUAGCUGUUGGGACCCGAAAGAUGGUGAACUAUGCGUGAAUAGGGUGAAGCCAGAGGAAACUCUGGUGGAGGCUCGCAGCGGUUCUGACGUGCAAAUCGAUCGUCAAAUUUGCGUAUAGGGGCGAAAGACUAAUCGAACCAUCUAGUAGCUGGUUCCUGCCGAAGU
rnacentral:rRNA from 1 species